UGCAAAACAGCGUCAUUUUGGCCACUGAUGCUUAAGUCCAAAACGACGCAGUUUUAUACCCUAUAUAAAUAGCAAAAAGAAAAAGAAAAAAACAGUUCAACUUUUAUUUUUCUAAAAAAAUAGAGAACUCUCUCAGUCUCUCUUGGUCUCUCUCUCAGCCCACCCCUUGGCAGGCCAGGGUUGCCGCCGCAGCGCCGCUGUGGCCUGUGGCCGGUGGCCGGCGUUGCGCAAAAGGUCGUUUUUAGCCCCCGUUUCACAGCUCCCUUGGAAGCCCAGCCCUCUCGACCCAAAAAAAACAAAAGAGGAGUACUCCCGACCCUCUCUCGGAUUCGAUGGCAACAAUGGAGAAGAGCCCUCCGACGGCGCGGUCACGGGGCGUCUCCGUGUUAGACGCGUGGAUGGUCGGUGAUAGGCAAGCCUUGAGCGGCGGCGGCGUGCGGCACAGGUGGUCAUGCGGCGUUGGAGGCUUAGGGGGCUAGGGGUUUUUUUGUUGUGUUUAAGUGUUGAGCUAAUUGGGCUAGGGUUAGUUUUGAGUUAUUGAGUUUUAAUUUGUAUUUGGGCUGCUAAUUUGGGUUUGUUUGUAAAAUGGAUGGAUUGUUUUAAUUAUUUUGGACUCUUUUAUUAUUUAAUUUGGGUUUUGUUUUGAAA